rnacentral:rRNA from 1 species
GACGAACCGAGCGAACGUUAUUCGGAAUCACUGGGCUUAAAGGGUGCGUAGGCGGGCCCGUAAGUCUGGGGUGAAAUCCCACGGCCCAACCGUGGAAGUGCCCCCGAUACUGCGGGCCUGGAGGGGGAUAGGGGCGCGCGGAACUUCCGGUGGAGCGGUGAAAUGCGUAGAUAUCGGAAGGAACACCGGUGGCGAAAGCGGCGCGCUGGAUCCCUACUGACGCUGAGGCACGAAAGCCAGGGGAGCAAACGGG